GAUGAACGCUGGCGGCGUGCUUAACACAUGCAAGUCGAACGGUGAAGCAGAGCUUGCUCUGUGGAUCAGUGGCGAACGGGUGAGUAACACGUGAGCAACCUGCCCCUGACUCUGGGAUAAGCGCUGGAAACGGCGUCUAAUACUGGAUAUGAGCUGCGACCGCAUGGUCAGCAGUUGGAAAGAUUUUUCGGUCUGGGAUGGGCUCACGGCCUAUCAGCUUGUUGGUGAGGUAAUGGCUCACCAAGGCGUCGACGGGUAGCCGGCCUGAGAGGGUGACCGGCCACACUGGGACUGAGACACGGCCCAGACUCCUACGGGAGGCAGCAGUGGGGAAUAUUGCACAAUGGGCGAAAGCCUGAUGCAGCAACGCCGCGUGAGGGGUGACGGCCUUCGGGUUGUAAACCUCUUUUAGCAGGGAAGAAGCGAAAGUGACGGUACCUGCAGAAAAAGCGCCGGCUAACUACGU
rnacentral:rRNA from 1 species